rnacentral:lncRNA from 1 species
AUGUGUGUAUGUGUUGUAACCUCUGCCCUACAGAACAGACUAAUGUUAACCAAGAAGAGCUUCAGCAUCUCUGGGAGGAAUGGUCUCUACAUGGCAUCAGUCCAGACACUCACUUCCUAUUGGAGCAGGCUCUCUGCCACGACCUUCACGACUCGGCCGUUGACCUUAAAGACUGUACACCACUCCUGCUCCUCGCUCUCCUGUUACUCACCCACCUUCUGCUCUAAGCUUAACUUAAGGCUUCACUUCUGGGACUGGGAGAGAGGCCUGGCAGUCCAGCAGACCUGGGAAUCAACACACCCUUGAGCCACUGUCUGAUUGCUCUGUGCUGGUGUGAGCCUCUGCAAUCAAUAACAGUCCAGCUGGAGCAACGUGAGGACACCAAGAGUUUCAAACGAAGAGUGACCUGCUAGAGUCUUGUGAAAGAAAUAUGCUAUAUAAUUAUUAUCAUGAUGUGUUUGUAGUUUGAUAUUAGUCUCAGAGGUUCCUUUGUUCUGAUGAGAGGAAUUCUAUCUGUGAGAACAGAGAUGUUAAACUCAGACCUGUCAUUUGAUGUUUAGGGUAGGACUGAAUUAGGAGACCAUGUGUUUAUGUGAACUCAUUCUGGACUGUUGUGUUAAAGUCUGGGUUUGGGGGUCUUAGGUAAACAUUCUUAUCUCUUGGAACCAGAGUACGGGAUGGUACAAGGGGGGAGUGUUUUCCUGCAUGUUCUGUGAUAUUGUCUUUGCAUAAAGUCUGUUACAUGGUACCAGGGAAGUUAGUGAUGGUUUGAACAGCGUUCUGAAACCACUGCGCUCCUAUUGUGUGAGUGUAUGUUGAUGAGCGGUCGAGAGCCAUUCACUCCUCUUUGCCAGAGUAAAAGUCAAUUAUUUAUUAUAUUCUUGGUUGUGUGUCUUAAUUCUGAGGUUAAUUACAGUCCUAAAAAGGGUGAAAUAAAUCCCUAACAAGUCUGUUUUUAAUUUUUUUC